GUGAGGAAUAUUGCGCAAUGGAGGCAACUCUGACGCAGCCAUGCCGCGUGCAGGAAGAAGGCGCUACGCGUUGUAAACUGCUUUUAACCGGGAAGAAACCCCAGGACGUGUCCUGGGUUGACGGUACCGGAGGAAUAAGCACCGGCUAACUUCGUGCCAGCAGCCGCGGUAAUACGAAGGGUGCAAGCGUUAUCCGGAUUCAUUGGGUUUAAAGGGUGCGUAGGCGGGGUGGUAAGUCAGUGGUGAAAUCCUGCAGCUUAACUGUAGAAUUGCCAUUGAUACUGCCAUUCUUGAGUACGCUGGAUGUGGGCGGAAUGUGCCGUGUAGCGGUGAAAUGCUUAGAUAUGGCACAGAACACCGAUAGCGAAGGCAGCUCACAACGGCGAAACUGACGCUGAGGCACGAAAGCGUGGGGAUCGAACAGGAUUAGAUACCCUUGUAGUCC
rnacentral:rRNA from 1 species